rnacentral:misc_RNA from 1 species
GGCUGGAUCAUUAUCGAGCAAACAAAAAAAUGUCUAGUGCUUCGGCGCUUGAUAGUGGCAGAUUAGUGUGCGGUACGUUUGAUUGACGUACGACUGCACGCCACAGUGUCCCAACGGCGAUCGGUUGGCGUCUAACCGGGUCUGAGCAGCUGUAGCCUAAGUCCGUGGCUGCGUUGACGACUCGGGGUAUGCAUACGUCCUGCUAGUUCAGGGUAGCGGAUGCUGAGACUUAAUGAGCUCCACGCCUGGGAGCCGCCAACCAACCUUUUUUUCUAACGAAUUUUUCUAAUAAAAAGACAAUAUCAGUCUUACCGGUGGAUCACUCGGUUCGUGGAUCGAUGAAGAACGCAGCAAACUGCGAUAAGUAGCGUGAAUUGCAGACGCUUUGAACGUUAAACUUUCGAACGCACAUUGCGCCGUAGGAGUCCUACCCUACGGCACAUCUGGUUGAGGGUCGUGAUCAAACACAGCAGGACUAUGGCUGUAAUAAAAUUAGCUGGUGAAUCACAAGUUCGGCCUACCGCCUCUGGUCGAAUGUGUUUUGCCAUAAUGCUAUAGAGGACACUCCCUAGAGGAGUGCCUACCACACGGAUGAUCUAUUAGCCGACGCAAUAGAUCCCGGUCAUAGGGUAUCAUGCUAAAAUACCAUGUGGCUUAGGGAUACGGCUAGUACGCUUCAUACGUGCCUGGUUUUGAAAGCAUUCGCUUUCCCGACCUCAACUCAGGUGUGAUUACCCGCUGAACUUAAGCAUAUCAGUAAGCGGAGGAAAAGAAACUAACGAGGAUUCCCUCAGUAACGGCGAGUGAACGGGGAAGAGCCCAGCGCUAAAUCCUGCUGCUCUAACGGGUAGCGGGAGGUGUAGCGUAUAGUAGGCGAAUUUCCUUGAUGGCUGUCGACUUAAAUUCUCCUUGACUGGGGUUCCAGAGAAGGUGAAAGGCCUGUUCAGUCGAUGGCCGUCUUGGAUUCCGUUCUACUUGGAGUCGGGUUGUUUGGGAACGCAGCCCAAAUUUGGUGGUAAACUUCAUCUAAGGCUAAAUACGGCCACGAAACCGAUAGCAAACAAGUACCGUGAGGGAAAGUUGAAAAGUACUUUGAAGAGAGAGUUCAAGAGGACGUGAAACCGGUAGGAUGGAAACGGAUAGAGCCAACGAACAAGCCCGUAUUCAGCUAGUCGGCUGCGUGCAGCGUGCCUGUGUGCUCGAUAGGGUGCAUGGGUGUGUGUGGUAUGCGGUCGGCUAGUGCAUUUGCGGGUGAUGUGCGCUGAGGCGUGUGAUAGAGCAAUAUGAACUGUUCGGAGAGGCCUCGCUUCGGCUUGGUACCUACGAAUGGGGAGUGUCGUCUCCGUUGCACGUAGCUUAGGUUAGGUACAGACGCGGUGAUGUACUGCCGGGCUGGCGCCUUGGUGAGUCGCAUGCGACGAUCCUCGGUGUUCGGUCUUGGUGGUGCGUUAGUGCCCUGACCAUUCCUCGGUGUAAAAGUUGGUCAUCUCUCCGACCCGUCUUGAAACACGGACCAAGGAGUCUAGCGUAUACGCGAGUCAUUGGGUGGAAAACCCAUAGGCGUAAUGAAAGUGAAGGUCUCUUUCUGAGGCUGAUAUGCGAUCCGUUGCACCACGGUGUAGCGGAGCAGCAUAGCCCCAUCUCGACUGCUUGCAGUGGGGUGGAGGUAGAGCGUAUUCGCUGGUACCCGAAAGAUGGUGAACUAUGCCUGAGCAGGAUGAAGCCAGAGGAAACUCUGGUGGAGGUCCGAAGCGCUUCUGACGUGCAAAUCGAUCGUCUGACUUGGGUAUAGGGGCGAAAGACUAAUCGAACCAUCUAGUAGCUGGUUCCCUC